AAAUGCGAAAUUAAAAAUGGUGGACAGAAAAUGGCGGGAAUAUUUCGUGAAAAAUGCUCUAAUGCUAUCUAUUGACAAAUAUGUGAAGCUUUACCUCGGAUGAUAACUUUCGGUUUUGGGGGUUUUGGCCAAGAAUUCGGGCUUUCGGACCACUGUGCGCCG